UAGUUCAAAUAAAUCAGAUGCCACAAUC
rnacentral:piRNA from 1 species